rnacentral:RNase_P_RNA from 2 species
CGGCGUGGCUACGCGACCGCCGCCCCGGCAACCCCGGCGCGGAGGAAAGUCCGAGCACGGCAGGACACGGCGGUGGGUAACACCCACCCGGGCGUGGUCGUCGCCCGAGGGACAGUGCCACAGAGAACAGACCGCCGAUGGCCCACCCCCGCGCUUGCGCGGGCAGGGAUCAGGCAAGGGUGAAACGGUGCGGUAAGAGCGCACCGCCCGCGUGGCGACACGCGGGGCACGGCAAACCCCGCCGCGUGCAAGGUCAUGCAGCCGCCGGCGCCGAGCCCUCACCGGCUCGACGCCAGGCCCGGUCCGGGCCAGUGCGGCGGGUAGACCGCUCGAGCCCCGCGGCAACGCGCGGCCCAGAGAAAUGGUCGCGCUCGCGUCAAGGCCCCUGCCCAAGCCCCCGUCAAGCGGGCACGGGAACCAGACGCGACGACAGAACUCGGCUUACUCGCCACGCCCGACC